rnacentral:rRNA from 1 species
UACGGAGGGUGCGAGCGUUAAUCGGAAUUACUGGGCGUAAAGCGCAUGCAGGCGGUUUGUUAAGUCAGAUGUGAAAGCCCUGGGCUCAACCUAGGAACUGCAUUUGAAACUGGCGGACUGGAGUCCUGGAGAGGGGGGUAGAAUUUCCGGUGUAGCGGUGAAAUGCGUAGAUAUCGGAAGGAAUACCAGUGGCGAAGGCGGCCCCCUGGCCAGAGACUGACGCUCAGAUGCGAAAGCGUGGGGAGCAAAC